GCAAAAUGGUUUCGCUGUUGUUUCUAAUCGUUUGUGUUCACUGAUGUUUUAACAAACGUCUUAACGUGUACUGUUCUACUUGGCAGUUACCCCAGAACGGUCAUACAAUUCUUGGCCCAGGGCAGAAGCAGUAGCAGUGCUGAUGAAAUGCACAGAAUGGCUUUUAAUUCAGCCUACUCCAGCAGUUCCUAAAAAUAACAAGGAGAUUAUUCCUUCCAAACUGUGUUUACUCAUAAUACGUGACUAUGACCACAGACUGAACAGCCGAUUUUUAAACGUGCUGGAGUUUGUACUAACUCUGUUUCCUAUAGCACCUAAACGAGCUUUGGAAACGUGAGUUUUGUUGUUGUUGGAAGGUUCCGUGUCUCAUUUCCGGAGGAUGAUUACGGUACCUAUAAAACAGUAGUGAGUUAAAACAUCUCUCCACAAUAGUUGGUAUUGUUAGCGUUCUCCGUUGGACUUUCACACUGAGAUGUUGAUUACCUUCCAUUUUUAUUUUUACCCCUAUUCUCUUCUCCGACUCUAAUCUAUAUACACAUCUGUUAGACUAAAAAUUAUAUGCAUUGAGAUAACAGCUAAACAUUAUGUGUAGCUACUCAAAAGAAUCCCUGUCCUGAAGAAUUUGUACUAUGUGUGGGGGGAAAUGAUGAAUACAAAUGAGGUUUUUAAAAAUGUGAAAUUUUUCAGCAGAGGCUAGACCGGAAACGUGCCAUGAAAAUUAAGAUUCGGUGAAUACAAAAAUCCAACGUCCAUACUUCUUUUAAAAAAGUUGUGGUCAGAAGGUUUUUUCUUUGAAGACGCACUGGAUUCAUCGCGAAAAAAAUGAGAGAAAUAUCCUUUCUCUCUCCUGGAAAUUUUACGGAAUGAGAAGAUAUUAUGCCGAUUGGUCUCUUUCUGAAAUUGUUCUGGCUCGCAGGAGCCCCUGCUACUUUGACAGCUGUCGCUUUGGCUGCACAGGAGACGAAUCGCCCUCCUUUUGGUGCCAGAAGAAGC